rnacentral:rRNA from 1 species
UACGUAGGUGGCAAGCGUUGUCCGGAUUUAUUGGGUUUAAAGGGUGCGUAGGCGGUUAUAUAAGUCAGUGCUGAAAUAUCCCGGCUUAACCGGGAGGGUGGCAUUGAUACUGUAUGGCUUGAGUAAAGUUGAGGUUGGCGGAAUUGACGGUGUAGCGGUGAAAUGCUUAGAUAUCGUCAAGAACACCGAUUGCGAAGGCAGCUAACUAAGCUUUAACUGACGCUGAGGCACGAAAGUGUGGGGAGCAAACAGG